AGUUGUUUGGUAUGCGGCCGCGGCCCCACCGGUUGCAAGUGUAGUCGUUCAUGUAUGGAACGCGGCCGCAGCCCGUGCUUUCUUGACAGUGGUAAAGUAGCUAAAUAACUUUUGAACAAAGUUGCUUUCUACGCUGAAUCUCACUGUUGCACUGCCAAAAGCCAGCUGACAGUAACUGGGAGCGGACAGGAUGCCUGCGGUGUCUAAAGGAGACGGAAUGCGCGGUUUGGCCGUGUUCAUCUCUGACAUCAGGAACUGUAAAAGUAAAGAGGCAGAGAUCAAGAGGGUAAAUAAAGAGCUGGCCAAUAUCCGAUCCAAAUUUAAAGGUAGGUGACAACUUUGGGGAGUUACAG